GGUACCAGGUCUUGUGUAUUUCUAUGAUACUUGUAUUACCUACUGUUCUGGUACCAGGUCUUGUGUAUUUCUAUGAUACUUGUAUGUAUUACCUCCUGUUCUGGUACCAGGUCUUGUGCGUUUCUAUGAUACUUUACCUACUGUUCUGGUACCAGGUCUUGUGUAUUUCUAUGAUACUUGUAUGUAUUACCUCCUGUUCUGAUACCAGGUCUUGUGUAUUUCUAUGAUACUUGUAUGUAUUACCUCCUGUUCUGGUACCAGGUCUUGUGUAUUUCUAUGAUACUUGUAUGUAUUACCUCCUGUUCUGGUACCAGGUCUUGUGUAUUUCUAUGAUACUUGUAUGUAUUACCUCCUGUUCUGGUACCAGGUCUUGUGCGUUUCUAUGAUACUUUACCUCCUGUUCUGGUACCAGGUCUUGUGUAUUUCUAUGAUACUUGUAUGUAUUACCUCCUGUUCUGGUACCAGGUCUUGUGCGUUUCUAUGAUACUUUACCUCCUGU